GAUGAAGAACGUAGCGAAAUGCGAUACUUGGUGUGAAUUGCAGAAUCCCGUGAACCAUCGAGUCUUUGAACGCAAGUUGCGCCUCAAGCCAUUAGGUUGAGGGCACGUCUGCCUGGGCGUCACAUAUCGUUGCCUGAUGCCAGUUUCCUCGUGAUGGGUGACUGUGCAGGGCGAAUGAUGGCUUCCCGUGAGCAUUGUUGCCUCAUGGUUGGUUGAAAAUUGAGUCCUUGGUAGGGAGCGCCGUGAUAGAUGGUGGUUGAGUGACGAACGAGACCCAAUCAUGUGAGACCCCUACCGAAUUUGGCCUUCAUGACCCACAUGCGUCUUUGGAACGCUCAUGACGAGACCUCAGGUCAGGCGGGGCUACCCGCUGAGUUUAAGCAUAUCAAUAGCGGAGGA
rnacentral:misc_RNA from 1 species